rnacentral:rRNA from 1 species
GAUCCUGGCUCAGGAUGAACGCUAGCUACAGGCUUAACACAUGCAAGUCGAGGGGAAACGACAUCGAAAGCUUGCUUUUGAUGGGUGUCGACCGGCGGACGGGUGAGUAACGCGUGGGAAACCUGCCUUGUACCGGGGGAUAGCAGUUGGAAACGACUGAUAAUACCGCAUAAGCGCACAGUAUCACAUGAUACAGUGUGAAAAACUCCGGUGGUACAAGAUGGUCCCGCGUCUGAUUAGCUUGUUGGCGGGGUAAUGGCCCACCAAGGCGACGAUCAGUAGCCGACCUGAGAGGGUGACCGGCCACAUUGGGACUGAGACACGGCCCAAACUCCUACGGGAGGCAGCAGUGGGGAAUAUUGCACAAUGGAGGAAACUCUGAUGCAGCGACGCCGCGUGAGCGAUGAAGUAUUUCGGUAUGUAAAGCUCUAUCAGCAGGGAAGAUAAUGACGGUACCUGAGUAAGAAGCUCCGGCUAAAUACGUG